UACGUAGGGUGCAAGCGUUAAUCGGAAUUACUGGGCGUAAAGCGUGCGCAGGCGGUUUUGUAAGUUUGUCGUGAAAUCCCCGGGCUCAACCUGGGAAUGGCGAUGAAGACUGCAAGGCUAGAAUCUGGCAGAGGGGGGUAGAAUUCCACGUGUAGCAGUGAAAUGCGUAGAGAUGUGGAGGAACACCGGAUGGCGAAGGCAGCCCCCUGGGUCAAGAUUGACGCU
rnacentral:rRNA from 1 species